CAGCUAUUCGGUUCGUCCUUCAAAUAUUCGGCAAUAUUCUCUUUUAAUCGACCGCCACGAAUUAUUGUCCGCGAUACUAUACUGUCAAACAAAAGUUGCGGCGUCCGGGUGAUCUUCUCGGCUGGAAAUUUGCCUACCCUUUAUUUCCUUCCGAAACUGUGCUACGAGUCGACAUCGCUUCUGGCCACACCACCGUACUCAUCGAAUCAUCACGGACAGAUUCGUUUUAUCGUAAGUCCCUUUUCACGUAUUCGUUAAUAGGUGGGAGCUUAAUACAGGUCGUUAACCGUCUGCAGAGUAAGAGUAACAAUUUAAAUUAUACGUCAUAAUGUAAAACAUAGCACCGCGGUAGUGUAAUAGUAUGGUUUACAUGUUUUUUACAUAAAUUACCUGUAAAAUAUUUAUUUAUUUAUUUGUGUAACAAAAAAACAGAAAACAAGUAAUAAUUAUACUAUUAAUAUACAAAUUAUAUAAAUAUGUAUAUUAUUAUAAAAUUAUAAUUAUAAUAAUUAAUAUGGUUACGAUAGAAUAAUCUAAACUUAAAAGUGGAAUAUUUCGUAAACAGGUUGACGGAAAUCAAAAAUUGCCUAUAUACCUACAGCAUUUUACUAGGAUAUGGUACGAUUAGUGGAAAGUUUGGUUCCUUUUUAGUCAUUGAAUUUUCUAAUGAGACAUUCAGUUAGUAUAUAUGAUAUUGUCUGGUGUGGGUAACUGUAGUCACCGCUUGUGAUUGUCACUACAUUCCACUUGUGUAUCAAUGAGGUAGUCACAUCUAUCACAUCUUGUGCGAAUGCGAUUAAAGAUAGUCCACUCUUUCCUGGGGAGAUUGUCUCCAAGAGGUUUUUUAAGGUAUUUUUUUUUGCAGAUACUCUGUGGAUAAAAAUGGAAAACUAAACAAAAAUGUUUGAAAAUUCGAUAGCAGGUUCGUUAUAAAUCGUACUUAAUGGCCAGAAAAAAAAUUUAGUUUAAUGUAGUAUUUUUUUUUUAUACUAGAAUUUGAAUACCAAAUGUUUACGAAAACCAUAACAUAUCGUGCGAAGUAUGUAUCUUUUAAUAAAGUAAUCGGGUAAUCAUGUAAAAUACAUUAAUCGGUUUAAGUGUUACCCGAAUGCCAACCGUUAAAUAGGUGCUAGCCCUCGUUUUUUCACUUAUAAUUUAUUGGCGUUUUCAAAUAAUUGUUUUAUUGCAUUCUUCUAUCAUAAUAUUAUAAUAUUAUUUUUUACCCUAUUAUAAUACUUCAACAUUUUACAAAUGUAAAGGCGCGUGUAUAAUCCCGAAAUACCAUUUCACAGACCGUAUAAUUCUGGAAUUGUAUAUCCGCGGACUAUAUUGUCACGGACCGUAUUUAUCAGGAAAAAAAAAAUACGUAAAAAGUCUCGGACUGUAGAAAUCCGAACAAAAUAAAUACACAAACCGUAUUGUAGUGCUUCGUAUCAGGUACUCCCGGAAUCUAAAUUUUAAGUGACACCAUCAAGUAUUGUGACGCAUCGCCACAAUUAUAAAAUAUGGUUUAAAACUUUUAAGGGUUAUCAAAUAGGCAAACAAAUGUUACGAUUUGUAACUGUAUAGGUGUUUACACAUGAAACGGAGCAAAGCGCGGACAAUUUUUAGGUGAUUAUUACUUUUAAAAAACUCUGAAAUCCCAAAGUUCAGCCCUCCUUCCCAAAUCUCAAAUAAUGUUCAUGCAUGUUAUGUCGAUACGAGGCCAAAACGAACACUCACAUUGUAUCAGCGAAAAUACUGUUAGCAAGCAUUGAUAUAAUACCUACAGAUUACAGUAACAGAGCAUUGUGCCUGUCAAAAUAAUGUGUAUUUUAAAUUAAGUCUUUUUAAUGAUAAUGUGUAUGAUUUUAAAUUCUGAGCGGACCGAUUUUACAAUAAUAAAUAUUUUUAUUUUAUGCGUGUAUGAGUAAACGAUUUAUAUUAGAAAAAAAUGAUUUGAUGUACAAAUUUAACAUUUAUAACUAGUAGGAAAAUGAAUCUAGUUGAUACUUUUGGGAGAUCGAUUUUUUGUAUUAUUUAUUACUAUUUUAUUAGAUUCCCAGCGUAGCGAGAGAGCUAUUACUUUUACAAUGCUAUUUAUUUUUUUUUCUUCUUUGUUCUAGUUUGUGGACACGUUUUUUUUACUUGUAAACUUGCUCAGAUUUGUACGUGUAACAACUUUUUUGUAAGCUCAAGUUGUCUAGAUGGUACUUUAAACAAGUCAUUUUUUGAUUUUCGACGCCAUUUUUUAAAUAAAAGCACUUAAGUGGAAAAACGUACAAUUCCACGAUUUCUUUAUUUUAUAAAAACACGGACGACUUUUUCUACUAGAAAAAGUGAUUUAACCAAAAAAUCACAUGUUACCUUUUUUGUUUCCUUUUUGAUUUACUUUCUUACGGUGUCAAAUCUUUUUAGCUACUUUUGAGAUUUUAAGGAAUUUUAAUUUUUGGAAGUUUUUUUACUGUAAUUCGGUUAUAAAUACACGUAAAGACUUGAAACCUGAUGAUAAUACUUAUAUUGGACUUACCUAGACGUGGAUUCAAAAUAUGUUGUGGAAAAAAUUUGCAAAAUCAUCGGACGAUUUUUUUUUUUUUACAUCCAUUUUUGUUAACUAUUAAGAGUUAAAUGAUCUGCAGUAUUAUGUGAAUUUUAAUUUUUUAAUUUUUCUUUUUAAAACUGGUUAUACAGUAUUAUUGAAUAUAGUAUAUUGCAUAUAAUUGCAUAUUAAGCCACUUUUUAUAAGUAAAUUUUCAUCUUAUUUGACAUUUUUUAAAUUCAUAUAAUUCCGUAUUCUAGAAAUAAAAGUAUUAAUAAUAUCACGAGUUAAGAACACAUGUUGUAUAAAAAGUACUUUAGCUAUAUAAAUAACACAAUACAGUGCACGUAACAAGUUUCUUUUUAUGUAUUUUGUAUUUAUUAUUUUUAUUCAUAAAUAUGUUAUAUGUUGUGCAAUCGUAAAAGCAAAAGUUGAGUACGACAUUUCAAAAAAGACGCAUUGUAGUAGUAUAAUAUGGACCUUGUCAGUUGUCAACGAAAAAAGUAUCGAUGGCCCACAUUUACAACUGUGAAAAAAACCAAACUAUCUCCAAGACGUGUCUGGCCUAACCUAACCUGAUCACCUUGAAAACAGAAUUACAUAAUCAUAUAAAUGUUUAAUGAUGUUUAGAAGAUUCCACACCUACGAAUUUACUGUCUCGAUCACUGUCUAGCAAGCAACACAGAAAAAAUUGCAUUACCCACUUGAACAAAUAUUUAAAUUGUGACGCUUAUUUUUAAAUUAGAGUUUAAAUGGUAACUAAUACGGAAGUAGGUGAUUUUAUAUUUUAGUUUUAGUAUAUAUAUAUACACACUUACUUAAGUAUCAAGAACUAUAGAUGAUAAUAGAUGGUAUAAGUAGAGUGAAUUUAUUUCAAUAGGAACGUCUGUAAAAUUAUGGCACGAUAGUAAAAUAAAACAGCGAUAUGUAUUCAUAAGGCGAUAGUUACUAGUUAUAAUUUUCUCUCAGCAGUAACUAUCACGCGUGGACAAUGCGAUAGUAAUUUUUACGGUGCUUACUAUUGUUCUGUUUAUAAUGGCGAAUAUGAAUGAUAUUAACGUGAUAUCACGGUAGAGAAUUUCGUAAUUGUCAUAAUACGAGUAGUUACUAUCGUCGUGUCGUGUGGACCAAGUUUUCUAAUAUUCUUAUGUCAAAAUAACAGAAUCUUGCGAUUACGAUGCGGAAAACUUCGUAAUGUACAGAAGAAUAAGAUAAUAUUAAUUUGCUUCUUUUGAAAUUCAAAUUUAAUUAUAAUUAAAACUUGGACUAUUUUGAAUAUUAUAUUACAUUACAAUUUAUACAUUCUUAUCGUAACUUAACGGACACUUUUAUUGAAACCAUUCAUCAUUAUUUAUUUAUUUUUGUUGGAGGGCACUAAGCUUUAGAGCCUAAAAUUUAUAACCAUAGUACCGUCUUUUUUUCAGAUUCUGAGUGAAACGAGGCAUACAGUCAUUAAUGUGCAUUUUUAAUAAAAAAGUUAUAAUUCUCUGAUAAUGUAAUAAAAGGUAUUAAAUCUGUAAUAAAUAUAAUAUGAAUAAUUUGUUUACAACAAAACAUCAUUGAUUAUUUUGCAUUACAAAAUAUGCAUUUUCUAGACGACGACGUGUUAUUUUCAAAAUAUUCCGUUGCUGUUUGACAUUUUCGAUGGAUCUCGAUGAAUUGAUCACAAACAAUUGAUCGCGGCUGCAAAUUGGCUAUCGGUUAAAUUGAUCGACAGAAGAAAUUAAAAAACUAACAAUACAUUGGUGUUGUACCUUUUGACUUUUCU
rnacentral:lncRNA from 1 species